rnacentral:rRNA from 1 species
AGUCGAGCGGAAGGCCCUUCGGGGUACUCGAGCGGCGAACGGGUGAGUAACACGUGAGCAACCUGCCCUAGGCUUUGGGAUAACCCCGGGAAACCGGGGCUAAUACCGAAUAUGACUUCUGGUCGCAUGACCGGUGGUGGAAAGUUUUUCGGCCUGGGAUGGGCUCGCGGCCUAUCAGCUUGUUGGUGGGGUGAUGGCCUACCAAGGCGACGACGGGUAGCCGGCCUGAGAGGGCGACCGGCCACACUGGGACUGAGACACGGCCCAGACUCCUACGGGAGGCAGCAGUGGGGAAUAUUGCACAAUGGGCGGAAGCCUGAUGCAGCGACGCCGCGUGAGGGAUGACGGCCUUCGGGUUGUAAACCUCUUUCAGCAGGGACGAAGCGUAAGUGACGGUACCUGCAGAAGAAGCGCCGGCCAACUACGUGCCAGCAGCCGCGGUAAGACGUAGGGCGCGAGCGUUGUCCGGAUUUAUUGGGCGUAAAGAGCUCGUAGGCGGCUUGUCGCGUCGACUGUGAAAACCCGCAGCUCAACUGCGGGCCUGCAGUCGAUACGGGCAGGCUAGAGUUCGGUAGGGGAGACUGGAAUUCCUGGUGUAGCGGUGAAAUGCGCAGAUAUCAGGAGGAACACCGGUGGCGAAGGCGGGUCUCUGGGCCGAUACUGACGCUGAGGAGCGAAAGCGUGGGGAGCGAACAGGAUUAGAUACCCUGGUAGUCCACGCUGUAAACGUUGGGCGCU